rnacentral:rRNA from 1 species
UACGAAGGGGGCUAGCGUUGUUCGGAAUAACUGGGCGUAAAGCGCACGUAGGCGGAUUUGUAAGUCAGGGGUGAAAUCCCGGGGCUCAACCUCGGAACUGCCUUUGAUACUGCAAGGCUAGAGGACGGAAGAGGUGAGUGGAAUUCCUAGUGUAGAGGUGAAAUUCGUAGAUAUUCGGAAGAACACCAGUGGCGAAGGCGGCUCACUGGCGCAUUUCUGACGCUGAGGUGCGAAAGCGUGGGGAGCAAACAGG